AGAGUCAUCAAACCAGAGGGCAAACAAAUUGAGAAAACCAUGUUCUGGAAAAAUAACUUUCUGCUUAAACCACAAUUAAUGAGGCUGGCUGAAGAAUUCGCAUCUCCACAAAACAAGGCAGACCCCUCUCCUGCUCCCCUGGGAAGCUUCUCAACAAGGAACAUAAAAGUCUGGCUGCACCAGAAGGCAUCAGGGGCUCUGGAUUUGCCCUCUGCACCAGGGCCUUCCGCAGCUGGUGGACCAAAAGUUGCUGCAGACGCAUUCUGGCAGCUGCCCUCAAAAGCAGAGACAGCCUUCAGCUCAGCCAGGGACAUGGCUCACUUCUGUACAGCACACCCCAUCUUCACCAUUCAUCCUCCAAUACACAACCUGUUAUAACUCCUUAGUGAGAUGGGACAAAAAAAAAGCAUAAAAAAUAAGGUAUGUCUUACAUCCUCUUCAGACCACCUCCCUGCUCCCAACGGCUACCAUUCCCUGGGUGCCCAUGGAAGUCCACCAGAAAUAUAAUCUAAAUGUCAGGCUCUGUAGAUCACAAACUGCCUCUAAGGUGAUUCCUUCUGAGAAUAGCUCUUCAUUGCUGGGGCACUGAAGGCCUAAGACAUACUAACAAAACAGCCCGUCUGCUAAAGCAACAAGUUGCAAUGUGCCCUGAGACUUGACUAUAACCUCUAAAUUUUUUUUCCAUAGUUAUUCUUCAAGUUUUACUUUACUUUCCACUCAUUACAUGAAGUUACCCUCAGCAGCAAUGACCGCCCAGACAUGCCAAUCUUUGCUGCUUCAGUUAUGGCAAAGCAUUUUGCAGAGGAAAGUCCCCUGAAAAUAACAUCCACAGCUGUAGAAACCAAGCUUCUUUGUCAAGAUGACCCCAAAUGGGUCCAAAAGACCUUGAGUGAAAGAACACACCCUGGUACCCUUGUUAUGCUUUUA